ACGCUCGACACCUACGGGAGGCAGCAGUGGGGAAUAUUGCACAAUGGGGGAAACCCUGAUGCAGCGACGCCGCGUGAGCGAAGAAGUAUUUCGGUAUGUAAAGCUCUAUCAGCAGGGAAGAAACUGACGGUACCUGACUAAGAAGCACCGGCUAAAUACGUGCCCGCAGCCGCGGUAAUCUGAGCGGGCUGGCAAGGC
rnacentral:rRNA from 1 species